CGUUGCCCCAUCCACUGCCCCUCUGAGAGAGCUAUAGCUGUCACAUCGAGGCACACACACUCACAUCCUUAAACCCAAUACCGCAGCACACUAUGCCGUAAGCCCUGUCUUUGUGGUGCUCGAGGAACAGUCAACCAAUGAGAUUCCCUUUCUUUACGAGACAGAGUCGUCACUCGCUGAAUGUAUCCCAGCCCCUCCGUUAUACGUUAUUGAUUUUACCCUUUGGACUUAUAUGUCGGACGUAAAUCGAAGCUUCCAGCUUCCCCCGUUUAUUCGCUAACGUGAUACCUUUUUUUUUCUUCCUUCUUUUAAGCAUUCCCUUUUUUAAUAUGGCCCUUUUCCCCGCCGCCCCAGUUCCCAAAUAAAGUCCAAGGCUGGCAUAUUUCUCUGUUUCACUUACUGCUGACAUCCCGAAUAAAACCGUCUGAGAGCGAUGCUGUGUUUUAUCCCAGCGGCUCAUGAUCCAUCGUCUGCCGAGCAUGCAGCGUAUGUGGUUGCCGUGUUGCCGCGUCCCCCCCCCCCUCCCCUCUUUUUAUUCUCCAUGGCUUCGCCUUCCUUUGUUGUCUCAGAACAAUGUCAGAAAGACGAGGCACGGAAACCUCCAGUGGCUGCCGGAUCCCCUCUAGGAAAUUCAUUUAAAUUAUCUUUUUUUUUUUCAGACGUUUUUUUCUCAAACAUCUGCGUAAAGCGAAGUGAACUGCGAGGCUGAUUUGGGCAUGAGGAGGAUACUGAUAUACCGUACAUGCCCAUGGGUUUAUUCGCCUCCUCUGGCUCACCCGAUGCUAAGCGCAGAUGUUUAAGCAGGAGGGGAAACAUAAAAAAUCGACGAGACCCAAAUUAAUUGUUGAGAGAGAUUCCGGGGAACGGAGCGGUGAAUUAAUGUGCUCGUGGACAGGAACGGAAGAAUGGGAAGCACAUCUUCUUUGCUUUUGCUUGUUUUUAUUGGGUAUAUCAACACUGAGGAAGAGCAUACAAUUACUAGAGCCUUUACUUUGCACAAUCGUCUGCCCUAACAGAAAGAGCUUUGUCAUUGUGCCCCAUUAUUUUUUAUACUUUUUCAUAAUUUACAUUUUAAAUGCUAUUGUGUUAUUGACCAUUACGAACAAACACAUGAAGGUGGACCUUACCGUAUUCACCGUAACCUUCCGUUAUUAACCCUGCUCCCCUCCACUUCCCUUUAAUCCUUUACUUUCUACACGUGAUGAAUGGAGGGAAAGUUAGAUUUCCAUGACACGGCUCUUUAUUAUUACCCUGUCGAGCACAUUUAGUCAACAGAGCUGUCACUUGACGGCUAAUCCAUCACGGACAGUUAAUGAAUUCUAAAUCCUGCAAUUUGAGAGACUGCUUGCCCCACAUUCCCCACCCUCAUUCGCCAAAUUACUUCACCCUAAUUCAGCACUUACUUGAUUUGUUUUCCCAUGGGUGGAUGCUGGGUUAUUAAACCUCCGUGUUAUUCCUGUCUGUGUCUGUCCAGUCGGCCCCUUGUCCUCUGGCGUUAACGUAUUGUAUUUGUGUGGUUGUAGGUAGGUGUGUGCGUGUCUGUGUGUUUGUGUGUGUGUGUGUCUGUAGGUUUGUGUUACAUCUCUACCUUGGUUUGUGUGUAUAGAACUAGGUGCGUGUGUGUGUGUGUGUGUGUGUGCGUGUGUGCAGUGCAGCAGUGUCUUUGAAUCAUUAUUCCCUCAUUUCAUCAUUAUCCGGGGACACAAGAGUCCCUCUCUGCUCUCUGUUGACCUUCAGAGUGCUGAUUUCCUUAAGAGGUACACCACGCACUCACACUGCAAACGAUCACCUGCCCACGCACACUAGCGUUGGUGCGCGCACACGACCAGGCUACCCCACACACCCAUCACUGUCCUGUGAUGGGUAGGCUAUGCCCUGACAUUGAUUGGCCACACUUGUUCGCGUCUUAUUUACAAUAAAUGCAGAGGAGAGACAAACACACACACUCACUCACACACACAAACCAUAUUUGGUCAGUUCCGAGUGCCUUCCCUCAUUCUUUGAUCACGAUUUUUUCAGGGACAUUGGCUUCCUUCCAAUGCAUUGCUGUCGCACAAUCAGAUGCAGUAGUCACUCGCUCACACCCACCCUCACUCACUGACUCACUCACACACACAUACACAGAAACACAUUCACUAUUCCCACGUCCAAAUUACCCCUACAUAUACUGUACAUCGACUCAAAUACACAAGGGAACUGAAGGAUGGAGAGUAUAUUAGAUAUUGUAUCGAACCAAAUGGGUGGAAUGAUGGUAUACUGCUAUAGUACUGUGGCAUAGUAUGAUGCAAGUAAAGGAGUCUUUGCACUUAAUAAGGAGCAAUUACAAUGAUAACACUAUUAGAGUCAACCCUUUGACUGGAUCCAGCUGCAGUUCAACUCAAAUGCUGUUAACAUCUCACUUUGACAAUCGCCCUAGACACUGGGGUGAUGGCUGGGUAGCCAGAGAUGCUGACUAUACUGCAAUUAUGCAGAUGAGGAGAGACUGUGUGUGUGUGUGUGUGUGGUUGUGUGUACGUGUGUACGUGUGUGUGACUGUGUCUGCACAAUCUAAAAUGUAUGUAUGUGUUUAUGUUUGUGUGUGUGUAUAGGCAUCUAUAACUGUGUGUGUGUGUGUGUGUAUGCACAUCAAUAGUCUGUGUGUGUGUGUGUGUGCGUGUAGCUUUUCAUCCACCCCCUCAUCCCUACUCUCGUCUGAGUCUGUAUUAUUUGUGUUGGGCAAUGCUUGUUUUACACUGUCUGUACAUGAUGCUGAAUUAGAAAUCAAAACGACUAAGUAGGCCUCGGAAAUUCUUAAUAAGUUUUGGAAAUUACACAUACUAACCAAGAUAUACUCCCUUCUCAGGCAUGGGACAGAAAUUGAACUGGAAAUCUUUUUACUUUGCAGCCACAUAUGCAUUACGUUCCAGUGGUAAACAUUGUGAUUGUUACUUCAUUGGGAAAGAGACAAUGAAAGUUCAGUAGAGUCUGGGUGAGUCACUCAGCUAAUAAAGGGUCGUCCGGCACAUUGUCCUCUACUCAUGAUAAUACUAUCAAAAAACCCUUCUUGUCUCACUCAUCUCUUUAAUCCCUUACUUAACAGAACAUAAAACAUGCUAAAAAACUAAAACACUAGUACCAUUAAGACUCGUGCGAGGCGGUCCACUCUGAGAGUGGCUAAACAGAAUUGAACCCGUAACCCCCUCUAACCAAGUCUAACGAACUGCCACAGGUCCCCCCUCCCCCGCCGCCAAGACAAAGCUCCGAGCCAUCGCUAACCAGCAGAAUGUCGGUUGUUUACAAAGAAAGCCAACUCUGAAUGUAGCCAGACAAUCACCAAUACCAUGGGCAUCCAAGUCAACAAAGAGGAGGAAAAAACCAUGGAGCAUUUGGUCUACCGGAGGUGAAAAGAUCUCGUCGAGUGACAAGUCGACCCCAGACGACCAGCACUCCUGGGACAGCUUCAAGACCAUGACCCCCGAGCUGUGCAUCGUCCCUGGGGAACAGAAGGACCGCAUGGAGCUGCACAACAAGACAUGGGACUCUUCCUCCGCUAACACGCCAGACUCAUCCGAAGGAGAUUUUCAGACUGAAGUGUGAAAAACAACACACAUAUACAUAUACACACACCCGCAAGCAAACUAGGACACACACACAUAAAACACAAACGUACACACUCCCUCAGAAUCCGAGAUUGGACUUUCAAAGUCCCGAGCUACUCAAAAGGGCAAACUAAAGUGAACAAGUACAAACCACUGGGCGCACACAACACACGUAUGAACACACACACACACACACACACACACACACACACACACACACACACACACACACACACACACACACACACACACACACACACACACACACACACACACACUUUUACAGACUCUGCUCCAAAUCUCCUGCGAUGUGUUCUAUUAGAUUGCUUACUGUAAUUGUUUACGGCUGCACUGGACUGACAUGGAGGUAAACUGUUCUAUUCUAUAUUUUCACAAAGACUAUCAAAAAUGAAAGAACAGGGGCUUGAAGCAAGUACAGACACACUUUUUGAGAAAAAUAAAAGACCUUUAAGAAAAUCCAACAAAACAACCACAGAAAAAAAAAGACCCUAUGGACGAUGAACGGUUUCUGAAAAAUAAUGUCUUGAUUUUAUUCUAGAGAAGAUGAAGAAAAAAAAGGAAAAUCUCUUUCACCUGUUUAAUGAUUUUGAAAAAGUUGAAAAAAGAAAAGAAUAUUUCUGCACCGUUAAGUUCUUUUUAUAGAAAGGAAAAAAAAAAUCUCACUGCUGUUUUCACACCGUUAGUCCCCCUAGGCCCCCCAGUCAUCUUCUGUUUUCUUUCCCAGUGUAAUGGAGGAUGCAAGCACUCUUUUUUUUUUUUACUGUACGUUUCUCUCUAUAGAUGGUUCCGGAGAGUUGGUCGGGGUUGAAGGGAAAAAAAGAGUCGUUUAAUGAUAUGUGCCAUUCCUCUGCUACGUCUUCUCUUCUCCGUCUGCAAUGUAAUCUUGUUUUCCCCUUCUUUGUAUUUUCUAUGAUUUAGAUAUGAGAUGUCCUCCCUAACGUUAAACUGUUGAGGAAAAUUAUAUCAAAAGUCAAACAGGAUCAACAAAGAACCCUUUCUGCACAAUUAUGUUCUACGGUCUUAAUUGUACAAGAAUAAUCAAUUUAUUUUGGGAUUGCUUUGGUUCGUCUGGCUUUUUGCUUGCUUUGCCUUUUUUUAGAUUCCUUUAUUAGGGUUUAUCCCUUGUGAAAACCAAACCAAUAUUCCACAUAUACACACACCUCAUCUUUGUGAGCUUGCCUGAGGUCCUGUGUGUGUUGCAUGUUGCUCCGUCCCGAUUGGAAAACAACAAGAACAAAUAUUGCCCACUUGACACUCUCUCACCCUCUCACACACACUCCUUGGGAAUAUUUCCAUUCGGAAGAAUGCAACAUUGGAAUCGAUUUUGGGAAAAACGCCAGAGAUACGUUCCCAUCGUGGGCUGUUUGCUGUGCCAUUCAAGAGUCUGCAAAACUCGCCUCAUAUUUUCUCCAUGACUCCCUCCUUCCCACAUACAGGCCUGAUACACAGGCAUCAAUACCCUGCUCAGAGCCAGGUAUCGACUGGUUUGCCAGCCCGCUCAUCCCCUGUAGUUACUAAGGAAAUGACCUCGUGCCCUCCAGACUGCUUGCUGAGACGUGGCAGCCUACGCUCUCUUGCCAUUUGCGAUCAAGAGCAACUGCUGCGGUGGAGGGGAAAGACGUGCACAAAGAGACGGAGACGGCAGAGGCUGUGCUCUGACCAACGUGUCCUCUGGAGUUCUGCCCCCGCCCCCCCUCCUCCCCCAUUGGUCCUUGUUUUAUCCACCAUUGACGUGUUCCAAUCUGCCCCCCCUAAAUAGAAGAAGAAAAACAGAUGAUAUCAAAUGUUAAUGUGACAUUGCAUUAAUACAUAUGGGCUUAAUAUAUGGUGAGGGGGCGCUGACAGACAGACAUACAGACAGUCGAGGACGGAUCGUGAUGACGUCAUUCAGGCAGAAAGAGACAAAGUGGGAUCCUAAAGGAUGAGACAAGUAGCCAAUCAGAAGGGAUGUUAAAUUAAGCAGUGAGGCUGGGGGGGGGGGGGCAGACAGGGGGGAGUCAAAAUGCCAGGGGGAGCCUGAUGGAAAGAUAUUUUUACCUGACAUUUUUAGAUUGCAGUCUCCCAAAAAACAAAUGGAAGGUCUAGUUCUUUGCCGUGGAAGCAUUAGCAUAUUACUCAUGCAAAACACCAGCAGAGAGGGGAGAUGGUCAGAGUGCACCAUGAACGCAGUAGAUGGCCCGAUAACUUCCCUCCAUGUCUUUUUACACAGCCUUCCAAUUAGCCGAACGUUAGUGGGCAGAUAGAUGAUAGCACAGUGUAGGAGAGAACGGCAGACUUAAAGGGGGGGGGGGGAUGGCAAGUAAAUCAAAAGAGGGGCAGCAGUGGAUGCAGAUCAAGAGAGGGAGAGUGGAAAACAGUAAUUACCACGGGGAUGGCGAUUUGUCCUGACAUUUUCAGACACAACCCUCAAACCAUCUGUUUAAAGAUCCCUAGUGUGGUAACGCAGCGCAGUGCAGAUGGCAAGACAAGAGCACAGUCCUAGCUAACCUUUUCAAGCUAAUCGGCGAUACGCAGAGAAAAAAUAACCACCUACCCUCCCUCCCUCCCUCCCUCGCGGAAGAGAGAGGGAGGGAGGGUAGAUGGAUAGAUCUGGGGCCCCCAAGUCGUGUGUUUUCCGGGUUCACAUUCACCUUGCUCUCCGCGAGGUCACGCUUGGUCUCUACAUGGUCUCCAGACAUCUGGACCAGAGCCUGUUGACACCAUCUCCCAUGUACAACCUUGUGAGAAGGGUGUGUUGGCUCAGCGAUCUUCCACUUCGAGUCAAUCUGGACCGCAGCGGCAACUGCACUAUUAACGAGUUGCAAUGGACGAUUCAGGAGUCUCAUCUUCAAUCUGAAAAAUGUGUCUGAUAAUUAUUUUCAAAUAUUAUUGUGAUCAUUAUUAUUACUAUUAUGAUUCCGCUGCUAGUGUUUUUCCGUCACGAUUCAUUCAUGCUUGUCGGGGGAUUUCUCUGUUGUAUUCUCAAAGGAAGGUGAGUGCUAUGGUUUAUUUUUGUUAGGGUCUGAAGCUGUUUGGAAGUUCACAUCCACAGUGAAGUAUUAACCAAGCGGCAUCACGCAACAAUCUUGUCCUUGAUCUACUUGUUCUAGGCUUUGCCCUUUGAGUGUCUUUUGGAAAGUUCAAAGAGCCUGCAGUAUCAUUCAUGUCACACCAACACACAGUGAACUGCGCAUUUCAAAGUUUUGAACAACUAUGCACACAGGCUUAUUAACACACAAGUACAGCAAAAGCAUCCGGUCCCCUCUUUAAUUCAUUUGGAGUAUUGCUUCAAGAGAAAUUCUCCCUUAACCCUCUAUCUUUCUCUCUCUCCCUCCCCUCCUCCUGCUCUCAUUCUCCUGUUUUAUUUUAUAAAUAUCUGUAUAAUUAUAGAAAAAGUAGUCCUCUGAUGUUUUCAUAGUGUCUUUUUUAUAUGAAAAAUAAAUUUUCAAAUGAUAAGCGUCUCGCACUAUAUGUGCAUUUCACACGGACAUCGGACAUCGUUUUGUACCACUGCGGUACAAAACCGCAUGCUUCCGGAAAAGCACUGAAGCUUAGCUGUGACUGAUCGAAGGCCACGCCGGUCUCUUCGAAACAACCAACAGCGGAAAGCAUGUCCGUUCGAACAGAGUGCUGCGUUAAGGGAUCGGGUCCACUUUAAGCCACGUCCAUGCCGGCAGUAAUCUUCCUACCGAUUUAAGUAUCUUUUUGUUUCUAAUGAUAUGUUAUCUAAGAUGACUGUCUGCACACAAAAAUGGUUUUAAAAAGCACAAACAGCAGGGAUGGAAGAAUAAAACAUUGGAUAGGACGUUGUACAGCAUGCACGGCUGAAGCCGGCGGCACGAGAUCGCCCCUCCAGGGAGGGACACUGCAGAUGAUGAAGUGCGGAUUUAACCGUCCUUACUGGUUACUCCAGGGAACGGCAGCGGGGGCAUAAACAAGGGCAGGGUUAAGAGAGGUGAGGGCACUGAGGAACAAGGAAGAGAUCAGGGUUGACCUCCACCCUGAUCCCCACCACCCCACCGCCAACCAUCCACCCAAGAGAAAUAAAGGCACGGUGACAUU
ensembl:lncRNA